rnacentral:rRNA from 1 species
GACGAACGCUGGCGGCGUGCUUAAUACAUGCAAGUCGAACGGAAAGGCCCGGCUUUUGUGGGGUGCUCGAUUGGCGAACGGGUGAGUAACACGUGAGUAACCCGCCCUUGACUUUGGGAUAACUUCAGGAAACUGGGGCUAAUACCGGAUAGGAGCUUCUGCUGCAUGGUGGGGGAUGGAAAGUGUCGGCGGUGGUGGAUGGACUCGCGGGUUAUCAGCUUGUUUGUGGGGUAGUGGCGUACCAAGGGUUUGAGGGGUAGCCGGCCUGAGAGGGUGGCCGGCGACAAUGGGACUAAGGGACGGCGCAGAAUGCUACCGGCCGCAACGGUGGGGAGUAUUACGGAGUGGGGCGACGCCAGAGGCGGCGGUGCCGCGUGCGGAAAGCCGGCCUUCGAGUUGUGAACCGAUUUGUAAGGUGCCGAAGAGAGAGUGACGGUAAUUAGUCAAAAAGCCACGGCUAACUACGUG